CCUCGCGGCCGCGGUACAGACGGACCGACGGACGGCGCGGCGUGCAGAAGGCGCCCGGCCAUGUUCAGCCGGAGCUCCCGGAAAAGACUCUCCAGCCGCUCGUUGACCGGACCGGGGCGGAUUGAGAGAGGCCAGCCAUGUAACGCCUGUGGUGAUCAGUGCCCUGGGUUCGCCCUGCAUAAAUGGAGGUAGGACGCCUUAUAACAGAUUCCUAAAGACAUCACUGCAGGGUGUAAUUAUACAUAUGUGUCUGCCGUGUACAUAUAUGUAUAAUUACAUUGAAGCAUUAUAAUGUACACUGAAGCAUUUUUCACCUUUUAAAUUGACUUGGGAGUCCCAUGGAAAAAAUGCAAAGGCUGUUCCUUUAAGACUGAGACUACAUCUGCUACAAAUAUUGGAGGUGGAAGUGGUGGCCAGACAUUGAGGAUGCAGGAGAGCACAGCUGAGGCUGCAUUUCCCUGAUGGGAGAGUUUUGGGUCCCUUGCACCCGCCCACAGUCUGUGUAUCUAAGUCGCUGGGUCCCAGAUGAUUCGACUUAGGCACGACAGUUUUUCCAAAUGCCGUAGUACAGCAUGUGUAGGAUUCCAGGGACUAGCUGGUGUUUUCCAAUUGUGUUUUUAAUUCAACCCCUGUAACUCUGGGUCCCAACCGCAAAUCCACCACUGCCCGCCUGUGCUGUGUCAACCCUCUUCGGUGGCCAGAUGUUUCUUAUUAAUGUGCCGUGAAUGUUGACUUCCAGGCAGCUCCAGCCUGGAUUGGAAUGAUUAUGUUUGGGAGACAAGAGAUCUGGGUGCCCUCCCAGUACAUCUGGCUGCUGGGGCUCUGGCUGGGAAAAGUUAGGGUGCAAUCUCUCUGUUGGGUGAUGUAAAGAGAAGAGAAUGGAUCCUUCUUGGCAAGUUCAUGAAAAGGAAAGAUGGUGACAGUAGAAAUUUGAGCAACAUUGUAACCAGUUCUCUCUUUGCUUAACACAUCUUCCUCCCCCGCCCUUUGCCCCUUUGAAGAGAGCUGUUUCUGGAUACUAGGGAGAAAAGCCUGCUUUGAUUUGGUUUUGUUUUCCUCCUCUGUGAGUGUGGUCUCUCCUUUCUCCCAGUUGGUCAUGUGUGCUGGGCACCCAGUUAUAAGGAAACUCCCAACUGGCUCCUUCAGAAAUUAAAUGCUUUUGUUCCUGCCUCUGAUGGGUCUGGCAGCCUCUUUGCCUUUGUUUCAGGGCACUGAGCGCAGCCCUUAUGGCUCCCGAGCAUUUAAUAACUUCUGUGUCAGAAGCAAGGCCGAGCGACCUUAUAAAUAUGUAAUGGGCAGACAUAGGCAUCCAUCAGUCCUGCUGAUGUUGUAGCCCAAAUGGUGUGCCCUGGGCUGCCCCCUCAUAUAUCCCAAAUGUGAAAGUGAUGAUAUAUGGGAAUAGGUAUAGAAGGCUUACUUUGUUCACCAAAUCCACUAUAACAGACAGCACUGCUGCUUACUUUCUGUUUCAUCCAUCUUGUGUUCUAAUGAGGGUGGGGGAGGCAGAGUGAUGAACAGGAGAGUGGUUUCCAGCUCCUUCGAAACUCUGGAGCCUUUGGGUCAACUUGUGACCAGAGUUCUGUGGGGCAGUGAUACAUUGAAGGGGUCUAGCCAGGCUCCCAUCCUUUUGGUCUGUGUGACCUCUGACCUCCAGCCAAUCACUUUUCUUAGUUCUCAGUUCCCCUAUUCCAUUAAAUGGGCAUAAUAAUGGUAUGUACAGCACCGAUUAAAUGAGGUAUUGAAAACACGUGUUUGCCCCACACCAGGCACAAAGUAAGUAUUAGGUACUUUUGUCAACUAUUUUUAGCUGUUUCUCAACUGUUGUCCCUGGAAGAAGCAUAGACGAGAGGCUGCUGGGUAUCCCGGUCCCUUGAGACUGUGAUGACCACAGCUUCUUGGAGAACCUUAAGCCCUUUUAACCCAGCUGAUUUUGUGAGGGGAAAACAAGUGUUUUAUUUUCAGCCCAUUAUGAAGCCUUUCUUUGGGAAAGAGGAGCCUUUCAUGAAGCUGAGAUGGGUUUUCAUGCCAAAGCAGUUUCCCCACUAGCAGCAGAGAAGCUUCCAUGAAUGGGGUUUUUAUGGCCUUUCCACUCAUUGCUGGAAAGGAAGCUCCUUGCUUUUGUCCUUCUCCUUGCUUUUCCCUCAUGGGCAUACUUUGGGGUGACCUUUUGGAGAAGAGGGACAAUCACUUCCAGGUUAGAGCACAAUAUUCUUUUUUGGCAGUUGGAAAGCCACUGUAUGCUCUCUUUGCUCUGCUCUGACUGGGGGACCAUGAGCCCCUGGAAGGGACAGUUGUGUGGGUAGUAGGAAAAGCCAGCCUGACACAAGAUGAAAGGCUGGCUUUGGUCUUUUUCAGGGAGAGUAAUUUCCUUUACCCCAGAGUCCCAAGACACCACUUGUGGGUCUCCCCUGUCUCUGCUUCUACUUGGUCCCCCUUCAGGCCAUUAUCCACACAGCAGGCAUCUCCCCAAAGCAGCACAGAGAUGUGCUGCUGCCUCCAAUAGGCAGGCACUGAAGUUCUAGGAAGGAAGCGCCUUGUAAACAAACUUUGCUUCCCUUGCUGCUGUGCCGGAGGGAGCUGGGCCUUUGAAGUCUAGUGGGAGUGGGGCCCUGGUCUUGCCCUGGUUUUGCCAAAGCCGUGUGACCUUAGGCAAAAGACUCGUGCUCCCUGAGUUUGAUUUUCCUCAGUCUUCAUGCGGGGAGCGCUCCACUGAACAAAUAUUUGAGGGCCUGCUUCGUGCCAGGCGCUCUGCUGGUGCUGGGGAUAGAGCAAAGAACAAAACAGACAGGAUUUCUGCCCCACAUUCAACACAUAAUUACAUUUUAGAUAAGGUGGUCCGGAGAGGACCCUCUGAGGAGGUGACAUUUGCACAGAGACCAAAAUGAAGCGAGGGAGGAGGAGGACUGGCAGAAUCACCAUCUCGCGGGAGCUUGUUAGAAAUGCAUAGUCUCAGGCCCAGCCCUAGACUAACUGAAUCUGACUUUAGGGGCUUAACCAAGAUCCCCAGCUGAUUUGUGUAUGUGGCAAAGAUUGAGGAGUGCAGAGUGACAGCACCUGGCACUGGGCAAGCCAGAUCAUUCCCUGAACCCUGGGUCUUGUAUGUAUGAGGAAAGAUGCCUGAUGUUCUGUGCAAGUCUGUUGUGUUUUCCUAGUGAUUUUCCUGAGGGAUCAUCCACUGUUUUCAUUUUUGUUUUUUAAAUUUUAUGGCCAUACCCAUGGCAUAUGGAAGUUCCCUGGCCAGGGAUUGAAUUCAAGCCUCAGGGUUGCAACCUCCAGCAGAUCUUUGGCAAUGUCCCAUCCUUUAACUCACUUCACCAGGGCUGGGAACUGAACCCACGCCUCUGCAGAAACUCAAGCUGCUGCAGUCAGGUUCUUAACCCACUGUGCCACAGUGAGAACUCCUCUGCCCCUGUUUUUGUUGUCACCCACAACCUUUAGGUGGCAAACAAUGAGCAUUUUUAGGAUCAUUAAAAAAGAAAAAACUCCUAGACCUGCAAGAAGUUCCAUGUCUUGGAGAAGAGAGGGCUCAAAACUGUCAGACCGAGCUCUCCCUUCCACCUGAUCUAGGACAGCUGGGGAGCGAAGACGGGCACUGCUCCCUCCAGAUGACCUGGCCCCAAAGAAGCAGCCCCUCAAGACAGUCUAGGGCAAACCCUGCAGUGGCCGGGCUGCCAAGGGAGUUCUCAUUAAGCAGAAGAUUAAGGUGUCUUUGUGGACUGUGGCCAGAAGAAAAUCAUUAAUAACCAGGCACUUAGUGCUAUGAGACAGCUUUCUGAGGGGGAGUUAAUUAGACUCGCAUGUUUGUACCCAGUUUGAGUAAGGAAGGGAAAAGAGCCAUUUUUACCAUAAAGAUUUGCCCUUUGAAUGUCUUGGCACUGAGGAAUUAAGGUAGGAAUAAACACACCAAAGCUACAUCAUCAGUGACAAAGGCGAGUGCUUUCUCAGUCCAGAGCUGUGUCUACACAUUUUAUGUAUGUUUCUGUUUCAUCCUCACUGAACCCUAUGAGGUAGAUGUGAUGAUUUUCCUGAUGAGGAAACUGAGGCUUGGAGAGGUUCCAUAGUGGACCCAAGGUCUCCUGGCUACUGAGAAUGAAGCUAGGAUUUGGCUGUAAAACCCAGGCUCAUUUCCCUGUGACUCCCUCCCUCUUGUUAGCUUUUCUCCAAGGCUGAGGUCACAAACCAGAGGCUCUCUGGUCACAUACAGUCUGCAGAUGGAGAUUGGUCUGCAGUGUGUGUUGAAAGGGGGGGCUUUCUCUAAUACUAAAAUCUAGGUUUCUCACUUCUUUUGAAGAAUCUAAAAUGUUGUAACAUGGGGUAGACUUUCCUACAUGGCAGUAAUUGGUGGUGGUCUCCCUUUAGGUGGGUGCAACCUUGGCUCACCCAAGUCACCAACAUUCCAGUUGCAAUCAGAGACCUCCUCAAAUACUUAAGUGACCUGUCAGGUCCUAAAAGUCAAUGGAGUUUGCCAGUCCUGAAUGAGCAUUCUCAUUUCUCCAAAAAUGCUAUUAAAAAAUAGUAAGCUUUUAUCAUUUUAGCUACCAUUUUUUGUGUGUAUGUGCUUUUUAGGAUUGUACCCACGACAUGUGGAGGUUCCCAGGUUAGGGGCUGAAUCAGAGCUAUAGCUGCCGGCCUACACCAAAGCCACAGCAACGCCGGAUCCAAGCCACAUCUGCGACCUACACCACAGCUCAUGGCAAUGCCAGAUUCUUAACCCACUGAGCGAGGCCAGAUCGAACCCACAUCCUCAUGGAUCCUAGUCCACCUCGUUAACCACUGAGCCAUGAAGGGAACUCCCCUUAGCUACCAUUUUUAAAGUAUUGACAAUACCAGGCAAGUAUUUUACAUCCUUCCAAUCUUUCACCUGCAAUAGUCCUUGGAGACAGGUGCAAUUAUUUAUACCUAUUCUGAUAGAUGAGGAAAAUCAGUCUCAGAGAGGUUAAGCAACUUAGCAAAGGUCCUAUAGCCCCCUAGUCAGUGGUAUUCCAACCUUGUCUGUCUUCAGAAUCCCCUGUUCUGGACCAGGGCUUCUCACACUUAGCUGGCAUAUGAAUCACCAGGGGAUCUUGUUCAAAGGCAGAUUCAGAUUCAAAGGUUUGAGGGCAGGGGACUAAGAUGCUGCACUGUUAAUAAGCUCCAAGGUGAUGCUGAUGCUGCUGGUCCAGAGACCAUAUUUUGAGUAGGGCUUGGCAAACUAGGUCCUACAGGCCAAAUCAGACCUUUCACCUGCUUUGUGUGAUUUGUAAGCCAUAUGUGGGUUUAACGGUUUUAAUGGUUGGGAGAAAAAUCAAAAGAACAUUAUUUCAUGACACAUGUAAAUUCUGUGAAAUUUAUAUUUCAGUGCCCAUAAAUUGUUAGGUGAACAAAGUCACACCUAUUUGUUUACAUAUUGUCUAUGGCUCUUGUUGAGCCACAACAAUAGAGACAAAUGCUUGAGACGCAGAAUACAUGGUUUACAAAGCCCAAAACAUUUACCAUCUGUCCAUUAACAGAAAAUGCUAAAUACCCCUAUCAAGGGGAAUAUACAAGUAGCUUCUCUUAGUUUUAGAAGAAAGGAAUCUGAGAACCUUUUGGAUCAGGGCUGGAGGAAACAUCCUCUCCAGCCUGGAGGAGAAGGUGGCUAAAAUCAAAGGCAACCAAAGAAACAGGGAACAGACUAAAGCCAUUUCUAAAGGGCAUGUGGAGAUGAGGCUUGCAAGACCAGAUCAAUGAACCGCCAGUGGAUUCUAAGCUCCUUUAACAUUUCAGCUUUGCUGAUAAAUGUAGAUUUGACUCUCGCAUUAAAAGGCGGGCUUUCAGAACAAGCCUCCUGGAGUUGCACUUUCAUGAAGGACUGACAGGGGAGGCCCAGAGCAGUGGUACCCUUGUGAAGUCCUCUUAAUUAUGCAGAGCGGUUAGUCUGCCGAUACUGGCCGCCUUUCCAGGCAGAAUGCUUGGGCUCUGAGCAGCCACUCUGAAGCAGCGUUCACUGGGUCAGCCAAGACUGUGCCUUGAAAAGCAUCUUUCCCUAGUUGUCCUGGUAAUUGUGUUGAUUGAUGACUGAGAUGGUAAUUUGGGGUGAGGCUGAGCCUGGUUUCCUUUAGUGGGUUGUG
rnacentral:lncRNA from 1 species